ACUAUAUAUAGGUGCGGCUUAUAUUCGCAACCUUACGGUAUGCAGCAAGGAGCGCUGGGCAAACAACGCCAAGAGCGUAGUGAAGCGGUGCCCGCCCCACGCGCAGUCCCGUCCUCUCACCCAAGGCUGGGAAGGGAGCGCGAGGAAGGGGAAAGGCCGCUGGCAACACAGCAUGGCUCUCCCCCCCCCCCCCCCAGUAUGCAGCCAGGAGUAGCAAGGAAAGCGAGUGGCUUAUAUUCGGGUAUUUUUUCUUUUUUUCCUCCUCCCCCCCCCCCCGCAAUUUUAAAGGUGCGGCUUAUAUUCGAGUGUGGCUUCUUUCAGGCCAAUUUGGUAGUUUAUUCCAAGUUAAUUCACCUGGUUUAGCCUUAUCAACAUUUAGGAUUCCAUCAGCUUUAAAAGGAACAACCUGUUAAGGGCAGUUUUUCUGUCCUUAAUUUUAAGCAUGUUUUGGGUUGUAUCCAAUUGCACCCUUAGCUUAUAUGCUGCCCUUUGUAAUGUAAAAUACUACAUUGAAUCCAGCUCCUGAAGCUUUAAGUUGCUACUUGAGGGAAGAUGUUUCCCUCAUAAUCCUGGGCUUCGAAAAUGGAUCUAGAAGAAGUGUUUGAUAAACAUGACUGGAAAGUAAAUUAAUAGGAAGCAGAAGGAAAUUAAUGUUCUUGACAUUUUGCCACAACGUCUGCUAUAAGGCAGAUGUCGUUCUCAUUGCAUUGCUACUAGCUAUAAUUCCUCUCCAUUAGUUGAAUUUGGAGUUCAGUGGAAGAACCAAAGUGGGGUUAAUGGGAGCAAGACUUCCAGAGGCACUUCCCUCUUUGUUGGGUUGCUGGUUGAUUGAUUUAAGCAAAUCAUUGUGAAUUAGCCAGAAGAUAUGGUAAACUGACGCAGUAGCUACGAAAGAGGAAUGGCAGAUGAAAUGGAUGGGAUAUGUUGAAUUGGCAAGCUUAACUAGUAAAAUUAGAGAGCAAAAUGAGACAGCUUUCAAGGAGGAUUGGAAAUUGUUUGUAGAUGAUUUUUUAAAAAUGUAAAUAUGUUAAAAUGCAAUCAGCUUUGAAGUAUAGCAGUAAAAGGUAUACUAAGAAUAAUGUGGCGGAAAGAAUGUAUAGAAUAACUAUAAUAUGCAGCAGCAAUAGAUAAUAUGAGGAAACCAUGGAAGGGUGGGGAGAAGUCAAAUACCAAAUGUAAAGUGGAAAAUGUUUUAUUAUUGGUAUUGUUUUAUUAUUGGUUUUAUAUAUAUAUAUAUAUAUAUAUAUAUAUAUAUAUAUAUAUAUAUAUAUAUAUACUGCCUCCAGAGUCUCUAUUUGUGCAACUUAGUUUAAAGUAUUCACUCACUGUUACAUGGUGCACACAUUCUUGUACCCAAUAAACAAAGGGUAGAAUCCAGCUAUGUCCACCCACCAGAAAGAUGGACGCCAUUUGUGAAAGGGAUUAGUCCUCCCCCCCACAGUCCCCCCCAUGCCCCCAAAUCUGCUCUUGAGGAUUGGAAGGACACUGUGAAGCAGAUUUGGAAGACGCAUGGGGGCCACACGAGAAAGGAAGAGGAAGUCCUGUCACGUGAUGGAACCCCACUCAAGUGACAUUGGAUAUUACACAAAUAACAUAGCACGUUAUGUUGGAAAGGUUGUGUUACGUUGGAAUUGCUUUAAUGCCCAGUGUGGUGUGCCCCAUAAUCUCCCCGAAUGUCUAGAAAUUUAACAUCAUUGUGGAUUUAUACUCUGCUGCCCAGUUUGAGAAAGAUCCAAUAAAGGCAGUGGUAAAUUUAAUUUAUUCAGAGUCCCCUUUAUCCUCUUAUAAACAGCUCUUGGUUAAUUUACAGUUGGUAGUAAACAUUUCUUUUUUAAAUAACUAGAAAUUACCUCUUCCUUGAAGCAGUGGAUUGAGAAACGGAGGGAUAUUACGAUUAUGCAAGAAGCUGGUUGUCAUGCACAAGCCACAAAAGCCCUAAACAACUCUUAAUUCCUUCCUUGUUUCUUGGGUUUUUCACAUUUGCCAGCACUGAAUGCUAAUGUAUUCACUCCUGCUAAAUCUAAAUAUACCUUCCACGGGAAUUUAGCUUUUCAUUUUGUCAGCUAUGAUUAAUAUGUUAGUUCUAUCUAUCAACAGAUUGCUUUAUUAAUAUAUAUUAUAUACUUGGGUUUGUUUAAUUGUCUGCUUGAUCUUUAUGUUUCAUUUUUCUGAAUUUUGUCAGUGGGCUGCCCACACCUCUCUACUAUUAUCACCGAAAGCUCUCCUCUGUGUCUCCUGACGACCCCUGACACAGGAGGGAGACAGCCUUUUCCAUCCUACCAUCCAGCUUAUGGAAUGCCCUCCUUAGAGAUGCUCACCUUGCACCAACCUUGAUGUCGUUUCAGUGCCAGGCAAAUACAUUAUUUAUUUGCCCAGACAUUUCAGCAGGGAAUAGAAAUUAGCUUUAUGUUAAUAUUCUGCUUUGCUGAAUUGUAUAGGUUUGUUUUCUUUGCUUCCUGUAGUGUUUUAUCUAUUUACUGGCUUCUAUUAUCUUCCAGUAUGUCGCCCUGAGAGGCUUUGUUGAAGGGAGGCAUGGAAACAAGUUCUAAACAAGUAAUGACUUUACCUGGCAUUUUCAAUUUCAAAAUAAUAAAAUUUUAAAGACUUUAUUUUAAGCUCACCCUGACAGACAAAGGGGGAGUAAAGUCUUGCCUCUGAAAGUCUUGCUCCUGUUAAUACUGUGUGGGUUCUUCUGCUGAACACAAUUUUAACUAACACAAGAACAGCGUUUCAAUAUUAAUGUGGUGUGUAUGUCAUUGCUUUGAUAUCUUGGGAAUAUUAAUUUUCUUCUUCGUUUUUGUCUCUCUGUAUUGCAGUGGCAAACAGUAUAAUAGGCUGGAAGCCUCAUCUUUUGGCCCACAUCGAGAUGCUCGGUAUAAAACUAAUGACUGCAUUAAGAAUAUUGUUAUCUAGAGGCCCUGGAUAAGAAUAUUAACUAGAGAACGGGGGGGGAACAUUGCUGAAGAAUUUAUAGUGGAAUGACUACAAGCCCUUAAUGGAAUAGUUGGAGGAGAGGUGGGGGCUGAGGAAGCCUAAUAGAAGGAAAAACAAAGAGAACAAAAAAAUUAUAUAUUGGAAGUGAAUUCAAGAGGACACGACUUGUUACGUGUGGAAAGUAAUGGUUUGGUCCCACCCCCGCAGAAGAUCAGAUGGUAGCCCUAGGCAGGAGUUCUCCUCACAGAUUAGUAUUGUAUGAGGGAGAGAGCAGACACACACCUUCCAUUGCGUUUCUGCUAGGAAUAAAUGAAGCUGUCCAUUUUGGUUUCUCUGCUUCUAAUUUUUCUAAUCUUCAGUUCAGUUCUCCACAUUUCUACAUCCAUUUGUGAGAUACGUAAUAUACACACCUUGGCACAGCAAAUUUCUCUAAAAUAAUCCGAUUCUGUAGACUAUUUUCACAAAUAUGAGCAUUUUUAUGGACACUUCCCCUCAGUCUGUGAGUUUUGGAACACAUGAUUUAGAAUUGCAAAAUUCAAAGGAGCUUCAAACGAUGGCUGUGUUUUGGUUCUUCCAUUGUUCUGGAAAGUGCAGGUUAGGUAGGGUCCACCUUUAAAUGUGAACUAAACUAAAUGGGAGAGCCAUUCCUAGUUCUCCCCACCACCACCACAAAAAAUUGUGUUCCCAUCGCUUGUGUCCUACCACUCACCACCCAGUGGAGGGUUAAUUUAUACAGGGCAAGCCUACUGUACACAAUGGAAGCUCCCCAUAUGUGUCCGUUUCCUAUAGCACAGAAAGCCUCUAGAAGUAGAGCAGUCACCUCACCUGCAGAGGUUGCUGACAAUAUGACAGUCCUGCCCACCUGUCAAAUUUGGUGUGCCAGAGCUAGGGUGGUAAGAAAAGUCCCCCCACCUUUAUAAUAAGAUUUCUGCAGGCCCCCUUUCCACCCAGCUGCCUAGCUUUGAAGCCAUAUAACUCCUCAAGGCAGAACCAGUAAGCUAAUUGCAGCCACAGUGGGCGUGACAUCUCUGGACGCCUAGACUUGCUGUGAUUCUGAACAGCUCAAGCAUUGGCAUUGCUUUGACAAAGAAGUCGACUUGAUUCUAAGAAGAGGAUAAAGGGAGUUCAGUAUCAGUGAGGUCUGGUGAUGCUUGCAGCUUUGGGGCUAUGAACAUGGCAAUCUGGUCAACUAGGGACCAAAUAUUGGCAAUUAUUUUCAUUUGACUGUGCUAAGUAUGCAAUAUUAUUAGGAUACGGGUGGUGCUGUGGUCUAAACCACUGAGCCUCUUGGGCUUGCCGAUCGGAAGGUCAGCAGUUCGAAUCUCCACAACGGGGUGAGCUUCCGUUGCUCCUGCCAACCUAGCAGUUCAAAAGCACACCAGUGCAAGUAGAUAAAUAUGUACCACUGCGGUGGGAAGGUAAAUGGCAUUUCCAUGCACUCUGGCUUCUGUCACGGUGUUCUAUUGCACCAGAAGCAGUUUAGUCAUGCUGGCCACAUGACCCAGAAAGCUGUCUGUGGACAAACGCCAGCUCCCUCAGCCUGAAGCGAGAUAAGCGCCACAACCCCAUAGUUGCCUUUGACUGGACUUAACCAUCCAGGAGUUUUACCUUUUACCUGGAGGUAGAAAGAGAUUACUCCACCAAGUCUAGAAACUAUCUCUAGUGAAGGAUAUGAAUUCAGAAGUAAGUUUUCUCUAGAAUGUUGUCUUCACUUAGCAAAACCAUAAAGCAGGUUGGAUUCUCAAACACUGAGACUGCAGAAGAUCAACCACAACUGAAUGAGGCAGUCCAGGUAGUUUGCAGCGUCAGAUAAUCUACACGAUGAAAGGAAAGCAUUUACAGGAUUGAGUUCUUACACUUUAUUCAGUCAGGGCGAAUCUAUUAAAACUCCUUAAAAAAUGAAGAUAAGGGAGGCAAUGGUGAAAUCAGUGAUCAUAUUCUGAAGUUGUAUGCCUUUUCUAGAUAGAAAACUGCCUGGGGCAAAACAAAGAGGGAAAGAGCACUGUAUUAAUAAAGCAUUUACAUAUUUUAUUGCAAGUUUGUUAUCAGUAACAUAUAGAAAAAAUUCUUAAGAUCCCUUAGAAUCUGUAGAUCCAUUUGAAACUUGAGAAAGAAUAUCUGUGUGCCGUAAGUAAUGCUUAUGUAAUAUUCCCCCCGCUCUUGCUUUAAGAUUGUGCCGCUCAGAUAUGGUUGUUUUUUGAAACGUGGCAAAGAGAUGUUUGUUCUUGUGACAAACCCACCGUUCAAGGAAAACAAGCAGAAUCUCGCCCAGUGGCUCAGCAUGCACAAAAUACUCCAGAGCAGAAUGCAGGGGCUUGAAAAACGCUAUCAGUGUUGUGCUUUUUGCAGAACCACAGUGGCCAAGUUUAUGGAAAAGAAAGGGUCUAUUUGCAAAGUAAACCAUGGAACAGACACAGCGUGGAAGUGAAACAACCUCCAGUUGUUUCAUCUGCAUAAGCAUUUCAACUCAUAUUAGUUUUCUGACUGAAUUAGACGGCGCAGCAUCUAAUAACUAACGUUCAUGAUACUGUAUACAGGAGACUGCCCUGGACACAUAAGUUUCUUCUUGUUAGGAGAGGUUUUGAUCUGUGAAGUGUUUAACAUUAUGAAGUUUGAUCACUGCAUUAGUCAGGAAUGGUUUACAUAUCUAAACUUAGAUGUAUACUUAUUUUACAGAAUAGGAGUAGGGAUUAUCUUUUUCCCAGGUAUGACGUGGGCGGGAGACACCUUGGCAUUUGUAAUCUUGUAUAAUUCACUAACUGCUAAUGGAGAACUUUCUCUUUAAAAUUUUCAGGAAUUCAGCGUCACUUUUCUCACCUGAGGUGGAAAUGCAGAAUGGUAAAAAAAAUGGUCUUCUAAAGCAAGGGAGGCUAAUCUGUGCCAAUCUAAAUGUUGCUGAACUACAACACCCAUCUUCCUGCUCAUUGGCAGCUAUAGCCAUUGCAGAUUUUAUUUUGGAUAGAUUUAGCUUUGAAUCCUUAAACAUGUUUACCAAAUUACAUUAAAAUUAAAAUUGUAUUCCUGUGGCUUUUUAGAAGUAGGUGUUAUUAUAUACAUACCCUAGCUAGAAUUUUGUUUGCCACAUUCUGGAAACUGAGCUAGUUAGAUAGGCAUGGGAAAAGUUAGAUUUUGUUACAUUUCAUAUGAUGUUAAGAUCCCAAGAGGAAAAAUAUGAAGAAACCCUAGGUAAUUGGUACUCGGUGAUAUAGCACAUUAAGGAAGAAUUCGGAUCUGAAGAAUUUAGGAUUGGUUGUAUUAUGCUGUAGAGUAUUUAUUAAUAGAAUUAUGAUUAUAUUACUUCAUGUAUAGCAUGUAUAGGGGAAUAUAUAUGUAGAAAUAAUAUAUUUUAUAAUCUAGUAUUCUAUAUAUCC